rnacentral:rRNA from 1 species
AUUGAACGCUGGCGGCAUGCCUUACACAUGCAAGUCGAACGGCAGCGGACCUUCGGGUGCCGGCGAGUGGCGAACGGGUGAGUAAAGUAUCGGAACGUACCUUUCAGUGGGGGAUAACGUAGCGAAAGUUACGCUAAUACCGCAUAUUCUGUGAGCAGGAAAGCAGGGGAUCGCAAGACCUUGCGCUGAUUGAGCGGCCGAUAGCAGAUUAGCUAGUUGGUGAGGUAAAGGCUCACCAAGGCGACGACCUGUAGCGGGUCUGAGAGGAUGAUCAGCCACACUGGGACUGAGACACGGCCCAGACUCCUACGGGAGGCAGCAGUGGGGAAUUUUGGACAAUGGGGGCAACCCUGAUCCAGCCAUUCCGCGUGAGUAAAGAAGGCCUUCGGGUUGUAAAGCUCUUUUGUCCGGGAAGAAACGGUUUCACCUAAUACGUGAGACUACUGACGGUACCGGAAGAAUAAGGACCGGCUAACUACGUGCCAGCAGCCGCCGUAAGAC